GGCUAUGAAACAAUAGACUGUUUCGGAAUGCAGCCUAUUGCGGAGUCAGAUCAUGGGUUAUGCGGCAACCACAAACCGAAUAGAUUCUUUAGAGUCGAACAAAAACGCAA
rnacentral:sRNA from 1 species